CGGGUACUUUCAGGUGACAAUAGACUUGCCUCAAAUAGAUCGUUACUGUCGUUUUUCUGUGGUCUUUUUUUUUUAUUUUGUAAGACUGUAAAUCUCACUUUUUAAAGCCAUUCUUUCGUAAGUUUAUUGUGGAUUUCUUUGUACUGCGAAUUAAUUCAGGAAAAUUGAUCUCCGUUCGAAAUUCAAUGUUGAAUGUCUAACGGGCCUAACUAACCUUGGUUAUCGUUGUAUGGCUGCUAAGAAGCAGUAUGCUAGCACCUUAAAUUUGUCAUUUUCUCAACGAAUGCUGAAAUAUAUGCCAUUGAAGGUCAUGGUUAUUAAGAUCAUACUGGACACUUUUUCAUACUUUUUUAAACUGGAAUUCAACAAAUAUGACCAAAC
rnacentral:lncRNA from 1 species